CAGUCGCCACGGGAAUACAGAGGGUGCGAGUGUUAAUCGGAUUUACUGGGCGUAAAGCGUGCGUAGGCGGCUUCUUAAGUCGGAUGUGAAAUCCCUGAGCUUAACUUAGGAAUUGCAUUCGAUACUGGGAAGCUAGAGUAUGGGAGAGGAUGGUAGAAUUCCAGGUGUAGCGGUGAAAUGCGUAGAGAUCUGGAGGAAUACCGAUGGCGAAGGCAGCCAUCUGGCCUAAUACUGACGCUGAGGUACGAAAGCAUGGGGAGCAAACAGGAUUAGAUACCCCCGUAGUCCCUGUCUCUUAUAC
rnacentral:rRNA from 1 species